AGUGAACGCUGGCGGUAGGCCUAACACAUGCAAGUCGAACGGCAGCACAGUAAGAGCUUGCUCUUACGGGUGGCGAGUGGCGGACGGGUGAGGAAUACAUCGGACUCUACUUUUUCGGGGGGGAUAACGUAGGGAAACUUACGCUAAUACCGCAUACGACCUACGGGUGAAAGCAGGGGAUCUUCGGACCUUGCGCGAUUGAAUGAGCCGAUGUCGGAUUAGCUAGUUGGCGGGGUAAAGGCCCACCAAGGCGACGAUCCGUAGCUGGUCUGAGAGGAUGAUCAGCCACACUGGAACUGAGACACGGUCCAGACUCCUACGGGAGGCAGCAGUGGGGAAUAUUGGACAAUGGGCGCAAGCCUGAUCCAGCCAUACCGCGUGGGUGAAGAAGGCCUUCGGGUUGUAAAGCCCUUUUGUUGGGAAAGAAAAGCAGCAGGUUAAUACCCCGCUGUUCUGACGGUACCCAAAGAAUAAGCACCGGCUAACUUCGUG
rnacentral:rRNA from 1 species